UGGACCUUUAUGCUCUCUGAUGUGUCUUUUUGGGUUUCUCUACUCAUCAGAAAGGCUACCGGUGCUAUCAUACUGCUACUCGAAGUCUAUAUAAACAUAUCACCUUUAUUGAGGAUGAGAUGUUCUUCUUUGAUACACCCGAGCAUGUCUUGCUACACCAACUGAACAUGCCACACCAGCUGAACCUACUAUUUUAACAGAUGUUGCUGCUGUCACUGAACUAAUU
rnacentral:lncRNA from 1 species